rnacentral:lncRNA from 1 species
ACUCCAAUUUCAAUUAACACAGCCCUUGUUUUUCUCCAUUUUUUUUUUUCAUCCAGAAGCAACAGAGACGGAAAAGCCUCCUACCAAUCGAUGCAUCCAUGAAGGAUAAUGGCAACCCUUCAGAUGAAACGUGAACAUCUGUCUGUCCAUCUGUCCAGUCUCCUGUGCUGCAGGCUGGCCAGUGGGACCAUGGUCAGACAGGGCAAGCAGAGAGGCACAGAGUGCACAGGAGGCAGAGGAAGAGGCAGAGCGAGACAGGAGUGCCAAGAAGAGAGAAAACAGAGGAGGGUGAAAGAAGUGAGCAAGGUAGAAAUAAAGAAAGAAGGGGGGGGAGAAAAUGGAGG